rnacentral:rRNA from 1 species
CCUACGGGAGGCAGCAGUGAGGAAUAUUGGUCAAUGGGCGCGAGCCUGAACCAGCCAAGUCGCGUGAAGGAUGAAUGCCCUACUGGUUGUAAACUUCUUUUAUAAAGGAAUAAAGUGAGGCACGUGUGCCUUUUUGUAUGUACUUUAUGAAUAAGGAUCGGCUAACUCCGUGCCAGCAGCCGAGGUAAUACGGAGGAUCCGAUCGUUAUCCGGAUUUAGUGGGUUGAAAGGGAGCGUAGAUGGGUUGUUAACUCAGUGGUGAAAGUUUGCGGCUCAACCGUAAAAUUGCAAUUGAUACUGGCAGUCUUGAGUACAGUGGAGGUAGGCGGAAUUCGUGGUGUAGCGGUGAAAUGCGUAGAUAGCACGAAGAACUCCGAUUGCGAAGGCAGCUUACUAAGCUGCCACUGACAUUGAUGCUCGAAAGUGUGGGUAUCAAACAGGAUUAGAUACCCUUGUAGUC